GUCGAACGGGCUUCUUCGGAAGUCAGUGGCAGACGGGUGAGUAACACGUGGGAACGUGCCCUUCGGUUCGGAAUAACUCAGGGAAACUUGAGCUAAUACCGGAUACGCCCUUACGGGGAAAGGUUUACUGCCGAAGGAUCGGCCCGCGUCUGAUUAGCUUGUUGGUGGGGUAACGGCCUACCAAGGCGACGAUCAGUAGCUGGUCUGAGAGGAUGAUCAGCCACACUGGGACUGAGACACGGCCCAG
rnacentral:rRNA from 1 species